UACGUAGGGUGCAAGCGUUGUCCGGAAUUAUUGGGCGUAAAGAGCUCGUAGGCGGUUUGUCACGUCGGGUGUGAAAGCCCGGGGCUUACCGUGUGGCUUGCAGUUGAUACGGGCAGGCUAGAGUUCGGUAGGGGAGACUGGAAUUCCUGGUGUAGCGGUGAAAUGCGCAGAUAUCAGGAGGAACACCGGUGGCGAAGGCGGGUCUCUGGGCCGUAACUGACGCUGAGGAGCGAAAGCGUGGGGGAGCGAACAGG
rnacentral:rRNA from 1 species